rnacentral:rRNA from 1 species
AUUGAACGCUGGCGGCAGGCCUAACACAUGCAAGUCGAACGAGUGGCGGACGGGUGAGUAAUGUCUGGGAAACUGCCUGCUGGAGGGGGAUAACUACUGGAAACGGUAGCUAAUACCGCAUACCAUCAGAUGUGCCCAGAUGGGCGUAGCUUGUUGGUGGGGUAACGGAUCACCAAGGAGACGAUCCCUAGCGGGUCUGAGAGGAGGACCAGCCACACUGGAACUGAGACACGGUACAGACUCCUACGGGAGGCAGCAGUGGGAAAUAUUGCACAAGGGGCGCAAGCCUGAUGCAGCGAUGACGCGUGUAUGAAGAAGUACUUCGGGUUGUAAAGUACUUUCAGCGGUGAGGCGUUACCCGCAGAAGAAGCACCGGCGAACUCCGUGCCAGCAGCCGCGGUAAUUC